GAUGAACGCUAGCUACAGGCUUAACACAUGCAAGUCGAGGGGAAACGGCAUUGAGUGCUUGCACUCUUUGGACGUCGACCGGCGCACGGGUGAGUAACGCGUAUCCAACCUUCCCAUUACCGUGGGAUAACCUGCCGAAAGGCAGACUAAUACCGCGUAGUCUUCGAUGACGGCAUCAGAUUUGAAGUAAAGAUUUAUCGGUAAUGGAUGGGGAUGCGUCUGAUUAGCUUGUUGGCGGGGUAACGGCCCACCAAGGCAACGAUCAGUAGGGGUUCUGAGAGGAAGGUCCCCCACAUUGGAACUGAGACACGGUCCAAACUCCUACGGGAGGCAGCAGUGAGGAAUAUUGGUCAAUGGACGGAAGUCUGAACCAGCCAAGUAGCGUGCAGGAUGACGGCCCUAUGGGUUGUAAACUGCUUUUGUAUGGGGAUAAAGUUAGGGACGUGUCCCUAUUUGCAGGUACCAU
rnacentral:rRNA from 1 species